rfam:Triticum aestivum genome assembly, contig: Triticum_aestivum_CS42_TGACv1_scaffold_423279_5BS
UUAAUACUCCCUCCGUCCCAAAAUAAGUGUCUUGAGCUUAGUACAAAUUUGUACAAAGUUGAGACACUUAUUUUGGGACGGAGGGAGUAUGUU